GCGGAUGCAGUUCAAUGGCAGAAUGUGAGCUUCCCAAGCUCGACAUGCGUGUUCGAUUCCCGUCAUCCGCUCAA
rnacentral:tRNA from 1 species